GUAAGUACUUCGGUACAUCGGUGACAGGUGGUGCAUGGUUGUCGUCAGCUCGUGUCGUGAGAUGUUGGGUUAAGUCCCGCAACGAGCGCAACCCCUAUUGCUAGUUGCCAUCAUUCAGUUGGGCACUCUAGCGAGACUGCCGGUAAUAAACCGGAGGAAGUGGGGAUGACGUCAAAUCAUCAUGCCCCUUAUGACCUGGGCUACACACGUGCUACAAUGGUUGGUACAACGAGUUGCGAGUCGGUGACGGCGAGCUAAUCUCUUAAAGCCAAUCUCAGUUCGGAUUGUAGGCUGCAACUCGCCUACAUGAAGUCGGAAUCGCUAGUAAUCGCGGAUCAGCACGCCGCGGUGAAUACGUUCCCGGGCCUU
rnacentral:rRNA from 1 species